UCACCACACCCACUAACAUCACAGUGGGAUGCAUGUGAUGUAGGCAGACAUAGGCUGCUGAGCAUUCUACAGCUGGAUCAACAGAUAGCAGAAGGAAACAGCCACUAUGCCUGGCUUGAGCAUGUGAGACCUCAGAUUCCUGCCCCCAGUGACACACUUCCUCCAACAAGGCCAUACCUCCUAGUAGUGUCACUUCCUGUGGGCCUAUGGGGGCCAUUUUCUUUCAAGUCACAACAAAGGAUGUGAACCGCAGCUGAGAAGACAGACACUAAUGAAGUACUUUAGAAAUGCAAAGAAAAGUAUACUGGGGACAUGGAUCCAGAGAACAAGUUGCUGCGUGUGAGCAUGGUUGUGUCAGGGGUCUCCAGGAGGAGCUGAACCACAGAAGGAACAAGCAUUAGAAGGAGUUGAAAGGUGCCACUCUUCAGCAAACCUCUUCGACUCUUCCUUCAAAACACAUUUGGAAUUUGACCUUCUUCCUGUCAGCACUGCUCUGGAGUUUCCAGCCGUCUUUAUUCUCCAUCCAGACUUUCCCAGCUUGUCAGUCCAAUCGCCUUGAGACACAGCCUGGAACUGUAACAGCCAAUUACAGUGCAGAAGCAUCGAGACCUGAUGGGUAUUGAUUAAAAUCACAGGGACACAGGGGAUAAAAGUCGGUCUUCUCCCGGUCGCUAGCCUGUGGCAUUCCCUCAGAUGUCUCAGAUAACCAACCAAAGCUGAUUUUUCUAAGAGAGAAAGAUGGUGCAGAUUUUCUUACUGUACUUUUAAGUUUUUUUAAUGUGCAUGUGUGCGUACAUCCAUGUAAUGCAUGCAUGUCUGUGUUAGUGUAUGCCACAUGACUGCAAGCACCUGCGAAGACCGGAAGGGGGUGUUGGGUCCCCUGGAACUGGAGUUUCAGGUGUUUGUGAACCAUGCGACUGCUGGGACCUGAAUCCAGGCUGCCUGUAACCUGCUUGCCACCUCUCCAGCCAUGUCCUCACUGUCCUAAUGAAGGGUCCUUUUUACCACCAGAUCCUUCAAGUUGCUCCUGUCUUUGCCUCUUGGCUUAGUGUUUCAUAGGUUUUUUGAUGGUUUUCUUUAUUAUUGUUUCAUUGCACAGGUUUUCUUCCCUCUCUGUUUCCCCCCUUCCUUAUCCUUUUACUUCCUAGAGUGCCAGGUUCCUUGCCACAGUGAGGCAAUGUCACAUUAGUGACUGUUUCAUGCCCGUCUUAUCAUGUUGUGAUUCACAUUGGUGAGUGUUCCAUACACGUCUUAUCAUGUUCACAUUAGUGAGUGCUGCAUACAUGUCUUAUCACGUUGUGAGGGCUGUUGGUUUUGCAGCAUUUACUGUGUAGUGGUUCAGUACAAUGCACCUUCAAUGCAUUGUCCUGCGUAACACUCAAAGCUACUGUAUGAGAUUCUGAGGUGGCUGGAACCACAGGAAACCACAAGGGACACCAAGCUGGCAGCAGCUCAGCCAUCCUCAAGGUCACUGAAUGCAGUCUCAGUUCUCGAGAGUAUCUGCCUUGGUCCUGGGCUCUAGAACUGUCAACUCCAUCACUGUUAACAUACAAGGGAGCAAGGCUUGCAUGCUACUAACCCUGGGCCACAGAGUCAAAGAUUAAGUAGAUUAAGCUGGUGCCAGCUCACAGGAAUGGUAACAAACACACAUGCUGAGUAUCCAAAGCCUUUAAGGGCAGCUUGUAAAACCUUAAAGGACAGUUGAGGCUCAGAUACCUGAGAAAGGCAUUUAA